GGACCCCCGGGCGGGCUCCGGGGGCUCUUCGCUGGGCUGUGGAGGAAAGCCGUGAAAGGAGUGUGCGGCUCUGUCCUCGCUACGGUUACUCCGCCCGCACACGGUGGGGGUCGCGCCGCGCCUCGUUUCUUUAAUUCCUGGCAGACGCAUCGGGUUACAGGGUCCUGCGGGCCCCCACCCACAUUCUGCGGCCCCACGGGACUGAACCCAAUCCUUCCACACCGGAGUUUGCACGUCCUGUAUCGCCACCUCCCCACCCCUCUCCCUGAACGUCCCGGCCCUGGAGGGGAGGAGGGCAGCAAAGCCGGCGAUCAUCAAGGUGCCGAGAUUGUGGACGGAGACGCGCUGGGGCAGAGACUAUGUGAUCGCGUCGGUAUCUGAGUAGAGGACUUCGCUUCGGGGAGGGAAGAGGAGGGAUCGGCGCGCUCCUCCGCGGCG
rnacentral:lncRNA from 1 species